rnacentral:misc_RNA from 1 species
UUUCCGUAGGUGAACCUGCGGAAGGAUCAUUGUAGAGUUCCUUUUCAAACGGAUAUGAAGUUGUACAAAUACCCAUCGAGAACUAAGCGUUUUUGCUGUCAGCACUUGCGUUGUUUAGAUGGGUUCCCUUUGCUGCCUUCAUCUUGCUUCAUUUGAAGUGAGAAGUAGAGUAGAAAUAAAAGACCGGCACGGUUUGUGCCAAGGAUAGUCGUUGUUGGCUCUC